GCAGCUUGCACUUCUGCCCCGGAAUAACUUGUACCGUUGUUGCGGGUCGGCGAAGGCGCAGGUCUGAGGAAGGCUGGCUGGACCGACAUUCUCAGUUUCCAACCAGCUCGUCGCAGGGCUCUAUUGAUGGUUGAAGAUAGAACAUGGAGAUGGCUGCUCUCAGUGGCUCCAGGAACUCUGUUUUAAUUCGACUGACAUCUUUGGCUAGUCGGGGAGAGUGCUUCAGUCCUUAUGCUUUCUCAUGUGGAUUCACAAAUGGACAACAGCAUCAGGUGACUAAGUGGAAUAAAAGCAACAGCACAAGAUCCUAUGUGACUGCAAGUCUCAGCAGCCACAUAAACGAAAGUCAAGGGUGGCUUUUGAAUCCAAGGAAUGCAGACAUAUGUAGGGUUAUGCACAGACCUUAUACUCUCUUUCAUCCAAGGGCAGAAGGAAAGGAAUUAUUAUUUAGAACACUUUCUUCUCAGAAACUGCAGAACUUUUGUGAAAUUGAGAAUGUCCAGAUGUUCAGGCUUUUUCAUGUGUCAUCAGCACAGAAAGCUGCUCCACUUAGCAUCUUUUUUAUAAUCUUGAAGCCAGCUCAGAAACUCCUUGCUAUCAUCCUUGGGAGGAGCAUAAGAAAAUGGUGGCGUGCUCUUCCUCCAAACAAGAAGGAGCUACUUAAAGAAGCUGCAAGAAGGAAUACAUGGAAGAUAGUCUUCAUUCUGUGCAGUGUGGGAAUUAUAUUUAUCAUGUUUUAUUGUACUAAUUUGGAUGAUACACCAAUCACAGGACGUGCUCGGCUUUUGGUGUUUGGGAAGGAGCAUUUUGCACAAUUGUCCCAGAUGGAGUAUAAUAUGUGGGUAGAAGAAUUUAAAAAUAAAAUGCUGCCAGAAACAGACCCUCGCUAUCAGGUGGUUAAAAAAGUUUUUGUUCACCUAGUUGAAAGCAACAAGGAUAUUCCACAGGUUUCUGAGUGCAGAUGGACUCUCCAUGUAGUGGAAGACCCAGGCAUCAAUGCUUUUAUGCUUCCAACUGGACACAUGUUUGUUUUCACUGGCAUGCUAGCCGCUGUGUUAGAUAUCAAUCAACUGUCUUUCAUUUUGGGGCAUGAAAUUGCUCAUGCUGUUCUUGAACAUGCUGCAGAGAAGGCAAGCUUGGAGCAUUUCUUGGAUCUUCUGUCACUCAUUCUUCUCACAGUGAUCUGGGCUGUCUGUCCACAAGACAGUUUAGCAGUGAUUGGCCAGUGGAUCCAUGGCAGGUUUCGGGAGUUGCUGUUUCAUAGGCCAUACAGCAGGACUUUAGAAGCUGAAGCUGACAAAGUUGGACUUCAUUUUACAGCUAAGGCUUGUAUGGAUGUAAGAGCAAGUUCUGUGUUCUGGCAGCUAAUGGAACUAGCUGACACUAUUACAGAGCAACCGAAAUUGCCAGAAUGGCUCUCUACGCACCCAUCGCAUGAGAAUCGAGCUGAACAUUUGGAAAGGCUUAUACCAGAGGCACUUCAAAUAAGAGACCAAUGCAAUUGCCCUAGUUUGCCUAGUCAAGAUCCACGUCUUAUUUUCAGAUUGAGCAAGCAGCAGUUCCUACAAGCAUCCAGAGAUAAGGAAGCUCCAAAUAUCACUCACCAUGGUCUUGAUAAAACAAAAGCUUCUUAGUAAAAAGGAGGUGACAGCUGUAGACAUUCUAGCUGGUUAAGAACUCUCAAGAUACAAUGGCAGGAAAGCUUCCACAGGAGAUAUAGAUUAUAGGAUCCCUGUCCCAAGGAAGAUCUGCAAACAAAGAGAAGAGAAGAAGCUGGGGAUCAUUCCUAUGAAUAUGUAUGGAGUCUUGACAAGGUGCAAGGGAAUAUAUAGAUAAAUAAACAAGGUCCGUAUGCCAAGGAGCAGUUUGGUAGACAGACAAUGGUUGCAUUAAAGAAGAAAAUAUCCCUUGAUAGCUUUGGUAAGUAGGAAAAUAUAUCUUGAUAGUUCUGGUAUUUAGUCCCCAAAUGAACACAUUGAAACCCAUACUAUAGUCCAAUUACAGGAAUUUAAUUCAUUUCUUUGUUGUGUCAUUCUUCACAUGAGCAAGCUGAACUUCCUCUUAUAAUUAUAUCUGUUCAAAUUCUGCCACCAGAAUAGAAACCAAUCCUGGUAUGACAAAUGGAGGCAAUUGGACCAAAGCAAGCAAAGUACAGAUUUGUUAACACCUUGUUCUCCUUGCUUUACUUGAAACGGGACAAACUGAUUGCUGGCAGCAUACAUGUCCAUUGUCUUAUAAACCAACUUUGUUAGUCCAGAGAAGGUCAUGCUGAUAUUUCUGUGGAAUCGACAGAACUUACGUUAUUCACAGCAAACUUGUGACCAAUUCGUUUUAAUGGGACUUAUUUAAUACAUUGUUAUACUGCCCAAUAGCCAAAGCUCUCUCAGUGGUUCACACCAUUUUAAAAUAUUAUAAAACAUAUAAUAUAGUAUAAAUAUGUAAAUGAUUAAAAUAACAGUAUAUUGAAAAGUGAAAACUAGAGUAAAAAAGCAACAAUGCAAAGAUUUAAAAUAUAAUGCCAAAUUGAGAUCUGUCUGAAACUAAAAUUCUUGGGAAAAUAAUAAAAGUUUUCACCUUGUACCAGAAAGAGUACAAUGAAGGUGCCAGAAGAACCUCCUUGGGAAGUUCAUUCCAUAGUAAGGGUGCCAUAACAGGAAAGGGCCCCUAGCAGCCACCCACCUGACUUCCCUUGGCAGCAGCUCCCUCAGAGGGGAUGAUCUUAGGGUCUGACCAGGUAUGUAUGAUAGAAGAUUACCUUUAACUUCAGGUAUCCUGGCCCUAAGCUGUUAAGGCCUGUGAAUGGUAAUACUAGUCCUUUGAAUCAGACCCAGACAUGGACCAGCAGUCAGCACAGAUAGUGAAAUCCCAGUCUAAUCUGAACACAUUGGCUAGUCCCCAUUAGCUGCCCUGUUUUGGACCAGCUGAAGUUUCUUGACCAUUUUCAAAGAAAGCCCCACAUACAAUGCAUAGCAGUAAUUCAACGGAGAGGCUACCAGAGUUUGGAUAAGUGUAGUUAGGCUAUCCUUGUCUAGAUAAGGACAAAGUUGGUGAAAGGUAGUUUGUGCCACUGAGUCCAUCUGUGUCUGUAGUGACAGUGCUGGAUCCAGGAACACCCCCAAACUAAAAACCAAAGCCUUUGUUGUGGGGAGGGGAUGAUCAGUUGAUUCUAUUUUCAUGUUAUGCUGAAGAUCUGAGGCUCUGGCAUAUUUGGUUGAUAAAGGGCAGAUAAUGUGGGGGACGGGGAUUGGAACUAAAAUGGAAAUAUCUCUGGUUCAGGCUUUUGUGCCACUUUUGACCCCUAGAAUGAAGAAGUUUGUCUUUGUCACCAGCAAUUAAAGGCUAGCUAAAGUUUGUGUUUCUACACUAUUCUACUGUUCAUGCCCAUUGACUUAUGUGGUAUUAUAGCAGCCUGGAACCCAGUGGGCCUCAUAAUGACAAGGCACCUGUAUUUGACCUGAGAAGACACCGUAUCUACUAAAGGGAACAACAGUGAAGGUUGUGGGCAUAGUAAGGUGUAUAAGCAUUCAUCUGAAUGAUGUGCAACCUAUGAGGCUCAUCCCCAAGGCCUUCUGCAAGGAGAGUUCAAGAGGAGGCAACAAGGGAGAGGCCUUUUUGACAGUAACCCCCUCCCCACUUUUGGAAUUUUCUUCUCAGUAAAGUCAACCUGAGGCCAGUAUUAGUGACAGGCUUCCCUCUGAUUCUAGUCAUUUAAUCAGAUAUAAUGCAUAAUUUAAGUUUUAAUCUAGUUGUUUUGUCAGAUUGUGAUAUUUUAAAGUUGUUUAACUGUUUGAUUUCUCAUUUGUGCAUAUCUUUUAACUUCUCUUGUAUGGUGAUUUAUUGUUGUUAAUUAGAUGCCAGGAGGGGAGGAGACAGGCACCAUCACAACACAUGAUACCCUGGGGCACUUCUAAGCUCUUUGCAGGUGACAAGAACAUGCAGCCUUCAUGGGAUGUCUGAGUUUGGAGGGCUGCAGGCAACCAUGUUAGCCUGUGCUGUGAGAGGCUAUCCUCCUCUCCUCUCCUCCCAGAUAUUAAUGCUUAUUUCCCUUCUUCUUUUUAGGGCAGCUAAAACAGAAAUUCUCCAUGUACUAAUGUGAUCAUCAGGAUUCCAAGAUGAAAGGCAGGUUGCUUACCUGUAACUGAUGUUCUUUGAGUGGCCAUCUGUGCAUCACACAUAUGGGUGCUGCGCCUGCGCAGUGCCUUUGGCCGGAAGAUUGACAGCUAACGGUUUUUGGUGGGAAAACUCCGCUCCCCUCCCCCUUCGUGGUAUAAAUAGAGCGGAAUGUCCACCAUUUUGUUCAGUCUUUGCGACCGCCGUUCACUGUGCCUCGUGCCUGUUAACAUCCCUCACUAAGAUCUUUGAGUCCUUACUGUCCGUUUUUUGCCUUUAUCCCUUCCUUAACUCUAAAAUCUUAUAUUCCAAGUUUGUAUAUCCUCUCUCUUUCUUCUAGUCUAAAAAAACCCGAAAAUAUUAUCUUACCCUCUAUCCUGUCAUCUGUUAAUUUAUUGUAUUUUAAUUGAUUCAUUUGUAAUCCGCCCCGAGGCUUCGGCGAAUGGGGCGGCAUAGAAAUUUUCUAAAUAAAUAAAUAAAUAAAUAAAUAAAAUGUCUGUCAAUCAUUAGCAAGCCACUGGUAACCGAACUAGGCUAAAAGCUUGAUUUCCUGCAGUGUCCUCACCUUUCAGUUUAGCAGUACAACAGUGGAACCAGCUGCCUAGAGAGGUGGUGGGCUCUCCCACACUAGAGACAUUCAAAAAGACACUGGACAGCCAUCUGAGUGGGUGGUGUAACGUGGCGUCCUGCAACAGCAGGGGUUGGACCUGAUGGCCUUCACGUUCCCUUCCAACUCUACUAUUCCAUGAUUCUAUGAAAGAAAGAAGGAACAACAACAACAACAAUAACCCCAAAACACUAACCAAAAAUCAGGCUAUUUGUCAUACAAGUUAAAGAAUUUUUCCAAAUACAUUUUUGCUACAGCAAAUGUUCAGCAACUAAUAUGCUGCCACCACUUCUGGGUGCUUGAAACAGGCUCUGAUCACACAUAGAGCCUAGAAAUUUCCUAUCCCCAUGCUAAUUCCCUAAUUUUGGCUGACAAACUAGAAAGACUCCCUUGUUGAGAAAAAGAGGAAAAGAGCAUCCAAACUAUCUUACUGGAGAGGAAUGGUUUGUCGGUUCUACUUGAGCCACCAAAUUAAAACCCAAAAUAUAAUUAAGCAUUAGAACACUAUAAGCAUUCUAUUUAUGAGCAAUUGCCAGCCCAGCAUACCUUCACUUGUAUAAUAAGAACAGGUGGGUUUUAUAGUCCACAGAGUACAGUAAUCACUUUUAAAUUAGCUGCCUGGAGAGCAUUAUUGCAUGAUGUGAAAUAGAAAUUAUGGAUAAAAAUAAUAAAACAGUCAGAUGUGUACACUAAUGAGGGUCAUAGUAUGGUCAUGGAUGGAUAUGAAGAAGGCAAGUUAACAGCAUUGAUGGGAGAUGAAAAAAGAGAGGCAUGAACUGGGGCACGUAAAUAGUCUUUAUGGCCAGUUUGCUUUUAAUUUGGGCAUUUGGUCUAAACACCAUAUUUUUCUGUGGUUCAGAAAGUGUUAAUAUAAUUCUAUACAGGCUAAGGAUGGGGCAAGUAUUUGAAGUAGGUUUGCUUGGCUAGCCUAGCGAUUGUCUAAUUUCUUUUUAUGAGUUCAAAUCUCCAGGGCCUGAUGAAUUGCAUCCAAGUGCAUUAAAGGAACUGGCAAAACUCUCAGAGCCACUGUUGUUACCUAGGGAAGUUCUGUUAUAUUGGAGGCAUCUGAGAGGUUGUUGGACAGCCAACAAAAUUGUUUGGCUUUUAGUCUAGAUGUACAGAAGCUAUUUCAACCCAUGGACUGGAUUUCAUUUCAGAGAUUUCAGGAGUCAUGUUGAAUUGAGUUUUGGUAGAGCCAAAGUUUAAAGAAAUGGAGCCAAUCAUAUGCAAAAUAAAAGCAUUUGUUUUAGCUUGGAAGAGCUUUCCUAUGGUCUCUAGGAGUGUGUUCGGAGCCUCUUUCUCAAGAUUGGAGACAAUGACAUGGGAAGGUUACAAACUGAAGAUGACAAGAUUUGGAUCCUUUGUAAAGUUCACUGUAUGAAGAAGGGUGACAUGGCACCAAUUAUUCAGAGAAGUCAUGUAUUCUGCUGAAGCUGAAUGUCGUCACACUGGAGAAAUUCAACUUGCAGCUGGACAUUCAUCUGUUGAGGAAGUUUUAAACUUGGAGUCCUGUACUGAGGAGGGGGUUGGAGUCGGUGGCCAAAUUGCCUCCUUCCAACUCUAUUAUUCAAUGAUUCUAACUGCUCAUUCAUUGGUGCUCCAUGUAAUUGGGACUGUUAUGCAAACGGGGUCCCAAUUUCUGUGGCACACAAAUGGUAUAACCAUCCUUCUUUGGUCAGCACAUGAGACUGGGACAGGAGGUAUAACCACACUCCAACCUCCAUGCAUUUGAAAACAUCAGUGAAGGGAAUCUCUGGAAAGAGCCUUUGUGUCACACAGAAACACAAGGUGGUGGUGGGGGAAACCUAGAGAGUCCUUUUUGUUUCUGAAAGAAAAACUCUGGGAUGGGAGAGAACUGGUGAGGGAAAAAAUACCAAAUGUAUCACCCAUUCAUAUAGUUUUCUGUUAAAAAAAUGGCUCUCAAGGUUUUGUGCACAUGUUUGCAUGUGAUAUGUAGCUAGUACUUAUGUAGUUAGUAAUUGGCACCCAGUGGGCUAUGCAGAACAUUACAGCCUCAAGGAAACAUUUCCCUAAAUGUAAUUUGUCUUUUUAAAUAUCAGACUUGUGGUACAUGAAGGAAAUGGGAAAAUAAAAUCAAAAGCCUUCUAUGCUCUAUUAAUUUUAUUCUGGAAACACAUUCCCCCAAAUUACUUUUUUUUUUUUUUGUUCUGAACUAUAUAGGUCUCCCACCACUUCUUUCUGAAAAGGGAGGAUUAUCCUUCUAAUACAGCAAUAUUGUUCGUAGGUAAUGCUAAAACUGAAAUGUUUACAUAGCAAAUUGGAACUGUUACUUCCCAGAGGCCUUUUAAUGUUGCUGGUGUUGAUUACUUUUGCUUUUGUAAAGAAGUGCACAGGAGAAGACAGUAGAGCUUGACUUAAAAGUAACAAGCACAUUUUUUUCUGAGUAGGACAACAAAAAUGCUGCUCUCAUCUGCAACUCAUCUGCCUCCUUGCCAAAGAAGCAAACAACCAAGGAAAGCAGAAAGCUGCAAAGGCACAGCCUGGAAAUCUGCUCUGUGUUCAUAAAGAACGCUUCAUUUUGGCAACCCUGAUUCAUCUGCCAUCAGUGGUGUUCAAAAAGUCUAGUUAUACAUUGUGUUUCUGUUACAGAAGACAGUUAAUUUAAGGCUUUAUCAUGCAUACGCAAAUGGUUUCAAACAUUUAAAUCUUGCACUAUAGUAGAUCCAUAACAUUGGCUGCAAGAUAUUGUCUCUUGGAAAAUUCAUUUGCUUUACUGGUACCUUAUUAGUUAUGGAGUGCCCAUCCAGGUACAUGUUACAUUAUGCACUGGUAGCCAGAAAGUAACAGCAGGAAGCCAAGCCCUGGAGCCUGUUCUUAACGAAGGGCCCAGCUCUGGACUAUUGGUUCAGAAUACUUCAGUUGGUUCAAAAUAGGGCAGCCAGGCUGCUGCCCAGGGCUGGCAGACAUGAACAUAUCAUGCCCGACCUCCAACAACUUCACUGGUUACUAGUUGAAUUUAUGCCCAAUUCAAAGUGCUAACACUAAUAUUUAAAGCCCGAAAUGGCUUGGGGCCAGGGCAUCUAUAGGAAUGCCUCUUCCAUAUGUGCCUAACCAGACUCAGAGGUCAUCAUCUGGGGUCCCCCUGCAAAAGCCCCCUCUUAUGGGGGAAAAAGAGGGUUGCAACUAGGAGAAGGGCCUUUUCGGCUUGAAUGGCACCCUGAAUGUGGAAUCAGCUUCUCAAAGAAGUGCACCUGGCACCAAUUCUGUAUUCCUUUUCGCAACAGUCAAAAAUCCUUUUAUUUACUAAACAUUUUAAUAGUUAAAUGAUUUUAAUCAUUUUAAAACCAAUGUUAACACUGUGCUUAUGUUGCAUUUAUUUUUUCCUGCUGUACUUUUGGACUAACUUGGAUGUGGUUGUUGUAGACCUGCUGUUGUUUUUGUAUUAUGUAUAUCCAAUUUUAAUGUUACUGUUUUUGUUCUUUGGUAUUUUAUUUUGUGCUGUUGGUUUUUUGACUCUGUGAACUGCCCAAAGAACUGUUCUGGGCUUGUGGGAGGUAUAGAAAUACCAAUAAAUAAAAUAUUGAAAAAUAACAGAAGUUGCUGUACUCUCACCACAACCAGCAUGGACACCUUUGGGACCAGCAUUUUACUUGUCAUAAGAAAACAGAUAUCUUCUACAAAGGUUUCACCUCCAGCACUUCUUAUUUUAGAAAACAAGUUGUACUUAUAUGACUUGCUAAAUACAAGGCAUUUCCUUCUCAGAAGUAUUCACACGGUGUACAGUUAAACUAUGGAAUUCAUAGUUCAAAUUCAUAAAGCCACCAUUUGGAGGACUUUAAAAGGGUUUGGAAAAAUUCAUGGAGGAGAGGACUAUCAGUGGCUAGAAGUCCUGAUGGCUACAUGCUACCUCCAGUGUCAGAGGCAGUAUUGGAUUUUGGGGAACAUGCGAAGAAGGUGCUGUUGCACUCAUGCCCUGCUUCUGAGUUUCCUGUGAGCUGCUGGCUGGCCUCUUUGUGAAGUGAAUAGUAGACUAGAUGGACUCUUGCUCUGAUCCAGCAGGGCUUUUCUGUGUACUUCCCUGUGUAUCCUGCAUUUUGUGGAAAUCAUUGUCCUUUUAUAUGUGUUUGACUAGUGUUGCAACACUCAUCCCCAGAAUAUGGCCCUCUUGCUUGUUAAGAUGGCUUCUUGUUCCCAGCCUUCACUUUGGAAGUGAGCUGAGCAGAGAGGAAAACUUUGAAUGGUCGCACAACUCCGGUUGCACAACCAGCAGCCUUUUCUACAGCUAUACAGCACAAAGAAAGUCAUGCAUGGAAGAGGAAUGCUGCUUGCGCAGCUUUCGUGUGGACUCAAUUCCUGGCAGGUGCCUGUGGGAAUGCUGACCAGGAAGUCAGACUCAGAGCAGCCAGACAGUGGUCCUGGGUCUGGGAGCUGAGCUCAGGGAAUACAGUGGAUUCCCACCCAAGACAGAUUUCAUGCAUUUCCCUAGUUUUGUCAUCUUCUGGACACUGGCUUCCAAACAUGAGGUCACACAAGUUACACACAAAGGCGAUUGUGUGUUAAAAUAAGGAAGAGUUCUAUGGUAGACUAAUGAAUCUAUUUUGGCAUAAUGGUCACUGUUCAUCAGAUGUGUAAUGAGUUACUAUGAUUUCAAAGAAAAAAAUAUUAAACAUGUAUAUAUGUGUGAAAUAAGACACUUUAUGCAUUGUAUUCUAGCAUGGCUAAUUUUCCUGUAUUGCAUAUAUUCUAGGUGAUAUACAUUGUUUGCUUCAAUUUUGAUCCCAAGGCCAUUAAAAAAAUCAGCUUCAGUAUCACUGAUAGGAUAUUGGACCUUAGUGACUUAGGUUCAGCCCUCUUCUUGGUGGUGAUCUUGAGCAGGUCCACCCUCCUAGUUACCCAGCUGCAAGUGGCAAUACAGUCCUACCUCAAAAAAGAUGCAGGCAAAUAAGGCAAGAAUCAAGGACUACAUUAACAGUUAAAACAUUAAAUCAAAAGGCCACUUUUUAUCAAGCUGAGGCUAGAACCCCUUUGUAAAUAUACGCCGUGAAUCUUGAAAAUAUUUGACAUUGGGUAGUUGCAGUGCUAUUGCAAUGGGAAAAUAUGUGAUUAAGCUUGUAAUUUGCAGUUAAAAAUAUUCACAUUUUUUCCAUUGCUAGGACAUGAGCUGAUUGUUUCUGGUACUUGUUCUUGUGAAAAUUGUUUUCCUGCUGCUUCAUUUUUUCCAGGUUGAUUUGUGUCUGCAUACACAUUCCUUUGGUUCCAUUUCAGCACAAUAUCGUGGCAAACUGACUGCAAUCUGGUCUAUGAAUUUCAUUUCAUUUCAUUUCAUUUUUUAAAAAGAAAUGUGUCCCUUUUUCUCAGGAAAAGUGGUCCUUUGUGACUGGGUGACACCUAGAGGGUCAUAGGAUGGUUUGGAUUCCUAGAUCUGAGGUCAGAAAAACACUUCUAUCCUUCUAAAUAGUCACAUCCCAUACCAUGCUCACAGUUAGUGUGGAAAGAAUCACAGCAACUGUGUUUCUGAAACUGUAAGAACAGCCUCAGGGAAUGGUAAAGCGGGUGCUGCAGAAGGUGGGGUGGGGAGGAGACUAGGAGUGCAGGAUACAAAAUUGGCUGUUUAUCUAAGAGAAUGUUUCCCAGGGCUUCAAGCAGUAACAUUCCCAAGAGAAUAUUUCAUGUCCAUAGGAUUUGGGUCCUAUUGAAAUCAGGAGUAAAACUCUCUUUUUGUAAAUUAGUCUUUAACACAUUCAUUUUUGAAAUCAGUCUUGGCUAAUACAUCUUAAGGUUUCAUUGGACCCUGUGAACAUUAUGAUCUGUACCACAUUUCCAUACAAAACUAGGAUCUAAUUCUGUUCCAGAAAUGUAUUGUGCAAAAAUAGGGAUUCCAGAUCUUAAUUAUGUUUAUACAUGUAAAACAAACACACUUUCUUCAGCAGUGAGAUUACGACCCAGUUUGUUUUCAUGUUUAUCACUUCCUGCUCUGAUUUAGCCCUUAGGUUCCUGCCCCAUCUUAGGUUAAGAUGAUAUGGCAACCCACUGUGGAGCCAACAACCCCUACAACAAGCCAUGCAUUUGUGGUUUGUUGCUCACAAACAAGCAACCUUGCAGGAAGCAGUCAAGGUUCUAUGACUUGUCACUCACAACGGGUUAUUGUGUUGUGCAAUUAUAACUAUACCUAAGUCUGUUUUCCCUUUUGUGAUUAUGAAAAAGCAUGUUUUUCAUAGUUCAAGAGUUUUCCUUUGAGAUAAGAUAGACAUUCCGUCAAAGCAUUCUAAUUUUUCCUAUGUAAGGCGCAGUUCACAUUUCUGUUUCUAAGCCCAAGCCACCAUAUGCAACCUGAAUUACAGGGACCAUCCAGGAUCAAAGUUAGAAUUCUUGCCAUUGCUGAUAUUAUCUUAACCUCUUAAUUAUCCAUGUGUUAGCUCAGUGUCUUGGGCUAUAAAACUCAUUAUUCUCCAGCCAGCACAUCCAAAUAUAAGGAGACAUAUUACUGAUGUGCUAUUAGGACCAAGACCCUAAGCAUCAACAGCUGAGGCUUAAUCCCCAGCACAGAGCUUCCUCCUUCUGCCUAACGUUAAGCCCAAAGCCACCCCAUCCAGUUGCUUUCCUGCUAUGCAGACAGUUGCAUGUCCGACAGUGCACAGGAGUCUGGUCUGGCUGUGCACAGUGCACCGUCAUCAGCCACAAUGACUGCAUACUGAGGAGAAGGGAUCUGUGCUGUGAGAUGGAAGGCAAAUCCAGCCUUCAGUGAUAUAGUCAAAGGUUAAAGAUAAAUGGAGUGAACAGUGAUUUUGCCUUUUC